CCUACGGGAGGCAGCAGUGAGGAAUAUUGGUCAAUGGACGCAAGUCUGAACCAGCCAUGCCGCGUGCAGGAAGACGGCUCUAUGAGUUGUAAACUGCUUUUGUACGAGGGUAAACGCAGAUACGCGUAUCUGUCUGAAAGUAUCGUACGAAUAAGGAUCGGCUAACUCCGUGCCAGCAGCCGCGGUAAUACGGAGGAUUCAAGCGUUAUCCGGAUUUAUUGGGUUUAAAGGGUGCGUAGGCGGUCGGAUAAGUUAGAGGUGAAAUCCCGAGGCUCAACUUCGGAAUUGCCUCUGAUACUGUACGGCUAGAGAGUAGUUGCGGUAGGCGGAAUGUAUGGUGUAGCGGUGAAAUGCUUAGAGAUCAUACAGAACACCGAUUGCGAAGGCAGCUUACCAAGCUACAUCUGACGUUGAGGCACGAAAGCGUGGGGAGCAAACAGGAUUAGAUACCCGGGUAGUC
rnacentral:rRNA from 1 species